rnacentral:rRNA from 1 species
AGAGCGAACGCUGGCGGCAGGCCUAACACAUGCAAGUCGAACGAACUCUUCGGAGUUAGUGGCGGACGGGUGAGUACCACGUGGGAACGUGCCUUUAGGUUCGGAAUAACUCAGGGAAACUUGUGCUAAUACCGAAUGUGCCCUUCGGGGGAAAGAUUUAUCGCCUUUAGAGCGGCCCGCGUCUGAUUAGCUUGUUGGUGGGGUAAUGGCCCACAAGGCUACGAUCAGUAGCUGGUCUGAGAGGAUGACCAGCCACAUUGGGACUGAGACACGGCCCAAACUCCUACGGGAGGCAGCAGUGGGGAAUCUUGCGCAAUGGGCG